UACGUAGGGAGCAAGCGUUGUCCGGAUUUACUGGGCGUAAAGGGCGCGUAGGCGGUCUACCAAGCGUGAAGUGAAAUCUCCAGGGCUCAACCCGGAAACUGCUUCGCGAACUGGCAGACUAGAGGAAGGUAGAGGUGAGUGGAACUGCGAGUGUAGAGGUGAAAUUCGUAGAUAUUCGCAAGAACACCAGUGGCGAAGGCGGCUCACUGGCCCGGUACUGACGCUGAGGUGCGAAAGCGUGGGGAGCAAACAGG
rnacentral:rRNA from 1 species